CUCACCGGAUCCUUGUGGGUAGAGCUGCAAGGUGCUGGAGCAAAUCCUGACUCAUCUGCAGCGGAGAAAACCCUGACCCUCCUCCACAGGUUCCUAAGGGCCACACACACUCACGCACUCUUCAUUCUUUAUCAUCAGGACGGGAAGGAACCAUUCAUCUAUCUACGCCAACUUGUGACCAGCGGCGUGCGAGGAGAAAAAAACGCUCCCUCCACAUCGGCUGUGCUCGGCUGCCCUGUGAUCAGCUCUGACCCAGAGCGAGCGCUCCGUAACAACAGCGGGCUGCAGCUUUGCAUUAGAUUUUGUUUCUUCUCACACGCAGGGAUUUUAAAGGAGAGAAAGAAAAACAUCCUCUGACACCGCCUCCGUCUCCACUUUCACUCAAAAAAAUAGGGCAACAUUUUGCAGCUUUUUAUUUAAAGAAAAAGCUCGGAGACACAGGAGGACAUAAGGGAUACGCUGGUGGGAGGAAUGACAACAAACAAAAAUGACUGAGAAUUAUUUCCGAUCCUGCCACAGUGAGAUAAGGCGUGAUCUCGGGCCAUGUAAUGAGCUGAUGUGGAAUUAGCUUAGAAGGACUAACCACUCAAUGGGGGAGACAACAAUAAGCACUGCGACAACGACGAAGCUAUUGCAACACGGAUUACAUUACAUAUACAUAGAUCAAACCAGUCCUCCACACACUAACUUCAUGUCUAUGAGAGUGAGCCAAAUAGUCUUAAACAGAAAGAACCCGUGGUCAUCUGAUGGUGUCAGAAACCGUGACGAAGACAGUCAGCCAGGGAAUAAUCAGCCUAAGACAAUGUGAAAUUUUGGUAAAUGAGGAAGUGGGAACAAUAUUUGUAUUUAAUAUUUUUACUAUUUGGCAGAGAGUAUACACAGUGGGGGAAACAAAGGCAGUGAAGAGAGCUGCUGAAUGAAUUGUCAGAAAGUUGACUACAUUAUAAUGUACAAGGAUAGAAAAGGUUUCUUGCAUUGCAUUGCAAUUAAGGGCUUUCACACCUACUAUGUCUCGUUUGGUCUGGACCGUGAAGACUUUUAAUUUUUACUCUGAAUCAAAAUAACGGCGGUGAAAGUUGCCCCCACUUGAUUUAUAACGUCAGUAAACACUUCCCUGAGGGGUUUAUGGUCUCAAUCUCAAAGUUCAAGUCUUCUUCAAUGCAGCAGGAUGUUCAUUUAGUCAAGUAUGGUCUCAUUUAGAGUAAUAUAGGAGACAAAGCGUGGUAUGCAUGGGGGCGGGGAUACCGUGUGAUUGACGAGCUCUCAGUCAGACCCAGCCCACGAUCUUCCAAAUAUGUUUACAUCCAGUAUCAAAAACCCAAGAUGGCGCUGGUCGAAACACUAAACCUGAGGCUUCAAAACGGCUGCUCACAACUUGGUUAGGACCUUCGCCCGGACUCUCAGGUGUGAAAACGCCCUAGAUGACAUAAUAAUCUCUGUCAAGCUGUACUUGAGUGAGGACUGAGUUGUAAGUGAAAUAUAUGCAGUGAGACAUUCGAGCUUUGUUCAUGCUGAAGGCCACGAUGAAGCCCAACAGAACAGCAGAACAGAGGCCACCGACUUGGAUUAUAGAUAACCAUGAUAUGCCAAAACUUCCAAGAAGCCACUGCAGACAAGGGAGGAUGGAAUUUGUAUGAUCUUGGCUCCUUUGUCCUGCUUGGGGAUUUAAAGGUGAAGAUAAGAACAGGCUGCAGGGAGAGCUUAGGAAAUGAAUUCAGGAGGUCUUGUUUUGAAAUUGUUCAACAGUCCAAGCUGAUGUGUAACUUUCAAGCACAAGAUUUUAAAACUAGACAAUGAGGUAUUGCACACACUGGGUUUGCAUUUACAAAAUGCUCCAGAUACCUGCUUGUCGCUGAAUCAAGGUCUAUUCGCAUUUUAAAAAUAAAAUAAUGGAAAAUAUGACGGGCCCCUUAACAUUCUAAUUAUAACAGUUACAAACACUAAAGUAAACGAGCACAUAUAAACAUAAAGGUAUGACUAAUGUGCUGCGAUGCGAUGUGGAAAGACAGAUUAUCAUCUGAGGCCACAAAGCAGCGUUGGUGAACGCAGCUCCUCCAGCACGACACGGCUGCGGGGCACGUUGUCAGAUUAUCCCCGGGUCAUGACGAAGACACACGGUGACGUACAGCUCGGGAACAUUCACAGACUGUGUGCUGGUGUUGUAAAGACACAAGGUUACUGUAUAUGACCAGCAAAUAGUAACUGUUUCCGGAUUGAAUCAUUGUUUUUGCCCAUCAUUCUCUUUUCUCAUUUGCAGUUAUUAAGUUAUUAAGUUUUGAAAUAAAGAACAUUUUUAGGCAAAUAUGAGAAUUAAAAAUGUUCAGUGGCCA